rnacentral:tRNA from 11 species
UGCGGGGUGGAGCAGUCUGGUAGCUCGUCGGGCUCAUAACCCGAAGGUCGUUGGUUCAAAUCCAGCCCCCGCAUCCA